rnacentral:rRNA from 1 species
UACGGGGGGGGCAAGCGUUGUUCGGAAUUACUGGGCGUAAAGGGCUCGUAGGCGGCCAACUAAGUCAGACGUGAAAUCCCCAGGCUCAACCUGGGAACUGCGUCUGAUACUGGAUGGCUUGAAUCCGGGAGAGGGAUGCAGAAUUCCAGGUGUAGCGGUGAAAUGCGUAGAUAUGUGGAGGAACACCGAUGGCGAAGGCAGCCCCCUGGGUCAACACUGACGCUCAUGCACGAAAGCGUGGGGAGCAAACAGG